rnacentral:rRNA from 1 species
AAAAACAACUCUCAGCAACGGAUAUCUUGGCUCUUGCAACGAUGAAGAACGCAGCGAAAUGCGAUACGUAGUGUGAAUUGCAGAAUUCCGCGAAUCAUCGA